ensembl:lncRNA
AUGUCAGUAGCUGCUCGGAUGCCGAUUUGGGUGAAAAAAAGGCCCUCUUGUAAAUUCAUGGCAGGCAAUUCGGUUUCAAAACUUAAAACUCAUAUUACUACAAAUCCCAGCUCAUCAGAAUGGCUUUUUACUGAUGCUGGAAACAUGAUGGUUCCAACUGAGAGUCGGUGCCCUAAUAAGUCAGACACAAAUGUAGCCUUGGCAAGUAGUUCAAAUGUAACGGUGGGAGAAACCAUAGUCAAGGACAAGAUGGAAUGUCGAGAUAAAACUGUCAAUUCUUACACAGGAAACAAUCAGUCCUCCAUUACUUCUAACAUGGUGAUAACUACAGUGAGCAAGACUGUUGAGGAGGAAAAUGGAGGUGGUCCAGAACAGGAACACAAAGAGAACGCAGACAAAGAUUUGAUUCAAGGGAAAAGUUCAAACAUCUCCACAAGUAGUGAUGAAAAGUUUGCCGACGAUGAACUACGGUACCCAGAUGGCAAUGACAAAGCGCAAACUGCUGAACCUGUAUCUCUCUCUGAACCAAAUAUCUUGACUACAUUGAACAAUGUGCAAGAGCAUUUAGGGGAAAAGGUCCUAAGAAAGGAAAUUGAGGAAUCAUUGAAUCAAGAAAAUGGUAAUCCCAGCUUCACAAAUAAUCAAGAUAGAAAUAUGCAAGAGGAGAAGGCUGAAAGUAAAGUAGAAAAAGAGACUUUUGAUGAGAAGACAACACUAAAUCCCAACUCCACUGAUGGUCAAGAUGAAAGGAUUGACUUUCAGGAGAAAGAAAUUCUGUCCGAUACAAAUGCACUCAACGAUUCUGACCGUCAGGUUUCUUCAGAUCCAGCUGUGACGAGUGGUCAUUUCAGCAAAGCAUGUGACCACACUGAGCAAUGUAUUGCAAGUAAUUCAGAUCCCUCCAUACAGCCAACCAACUCCACCGCAGAUUCAAAUCCCUGUCUAGAAAAGGAAUGGACCAGUGCAGCAGAAAAUACAAAUUCUCUGGAUCCUGUUUGCAGUGCCCCCAGUCUUCUUAUUGAUGGUAACAAGAACGACCAAGUUGCUAAUGUUGAAUCCUGUUUAAAGCCAACCAGCUCAAACGGAGACAUAAAUCCUGGUGUAGAAAUGGAAUCCCCACCUUCCUCAGUACCAGCUUGUAGUGACAGCGCUUUGACUGGUGACACGAAAGAGGAAAGUUGUUUUAAUGAUAUACAACCUGGCUCACAAUCAAACCCCUUAAGCAUAGGCUCAACUACCUCUGCAGAAAAGGAAUUAACAAGUCCAGUAGUGAACACAAAUGCAACCUCUUCUCCAGAUCCGCAUCAGUCACAGCAGCGCAGUCCACAGGCUGUAGAACAAGGAAGUCUCAAUGGAGAUGUUGUUGAAAAUGAGUCGUUUAAAAAGUUGAACACAUCUGCAGAGGAGGUGUCCUUGUCUGGCAUCCUCUUUGGUGAACCACUGUCAAGGGAAGAUUCUUCCUGUGAUGCGGAUGAAUCCAAACUUGACAUAAGUCCCUACCCAGACACUUCUUUGGCCGGACCUGACCGUGACAGUAUGAACUGUUCAGAAGGGCAAGCACCGCAACUCAUAUCUUCUACACAGUUGAGAAAAAGCCUGCAACCUGUCGUAGUACUAAGAACAUCAGAGUCAGAGUCCGGUAACUCUUAUCAUUGCGCGGAUUGCCAACACACAACUUACAAUGUAAAUCAUUUAAUUGAACACCACCACUGUUCCCAUUCAUUGCAAAACUUCCAGUUUUGCAGGACUUGUAAGGUCUACCUGACGGUCAGGAAUGAACAAUCGGAAAAAACAUGUGUGUUGUGUGACUGA